AGAGGAGAGCCACUGAGGGAACGCCUUCCGCCCUUCCGACGCCUCCACCGUGACUCCACUUCUGAGAGGAAUUGCCUACAGAUCAAGCAUGGAGUGUGCCUGAAUGGACAUACAGAACUCCAAGGUUCGGCCCGGUGUUGAGGGUUUUCCCAAAGGUGAGGGCCCGGCGGGCGGUGCCUCACAGCCCUCCGCCUCUGGGAGUGGCCCAUUUCUACUAAGGAGGCAAGAGGUGGCCAGGAGUCUGUCAGCGAGUUCUGCAUGUCCUGGUGACCCUCCACCUGUUUCACAGGUUGUGUGAAAGAGGAUGAAGAUACAAGCUGGUGAUGAUCCAGUGCACCUGGUCUCAGGACAUGAAGAAAAAGCCUGAUCACCUUCUCCACAAAAACAAGAAAUCCUGAGCAGGAGGAAUCAAACAGCUAAGAGCAUCUUGACCACAGUGGGGGAAAAGGAUAUCUUAUGGCUGAAGUCCGGCUGACUGUUGGUGGGAAGCCGCUGGACAACGACUCUGCAUCUCUGGCUGAAUAUGGGCUCAAACCUCAUGUGGUGCAGAUGGUGGUGAAGGUCUACAGAGGCUGACAGACACCAGCAAUAUGAUACAUCCAAAGGACAAAAUGCAUCAUCUUUGCUAGCUGGCACUGAACUGUGUCAUCUUUGAUCUUUGGUUUUCUUCUACACUUAAACAUACAGCUCAAUGAAGCAUUAAAUGUAAGAGACUGUAAGACUAUUAUAACAAGUAAGUUAUCCAGAGUAGGCCUUGAGAUGGAAAGGAUAGAUACAGCUUCAGUAAAAGACAUUUUCAGGGAAAGAACAUUUUCCAAUUCCUCUUUGGAAAUUUGAAUAUUGUGAAAAACGACUUGAAAAAACAUGUUUUUAAUAAGGCUUGGAGCUAAAUGUGGAAAAAUGUUGCUAUUUAUUUCAGCAUCUUUCAGUUUACAAACGGCAUCCCAUUGAAUAACUGGAAUCCCCCCCUCCCCCGUUUUCACAUAAUGUGAAGGCAUCCAGUGGGAUGGUUCACAUUUUUGAAACUCCUGAUAUUGCGUGAAAUCCCUUUAUGCACACUUUGAUUAACAGGGGGAGCCAACAAGCAUUAAAAAAAGGAUUUUUUUUUUUUUAAAUGGGAAGAGCAACCAAAUUAUAACAUAACAUUAAAGUAAGCAUGUGCUACACACCUCCUGCAUGAAUCAACAAAUUAAGAUAUGUUUAAUCAGUGAUGCAAAAUCUUAUAAAACAUGCUUUGGUUUUGUCGAGUGAACUCUUGCUGCCUUUAGCAGAGAGCGCUAAUUCUGGGAUUAGAGGAUGUUUACAGCACACAGUAUAUGAAGAAAACUAUAAAGAUGUUUACAUACAGUCUAUAAAAAUGGAGCGAUGGUAAUACAACCACAAAAUUGUUUCACAGCUAUAUAAAGAUGUUUAAUUAAUCAGAUAAAAAAAAAAACAACUGCAUUUUUUUAUGCUGUGCCACUGGUAUUCUAUUUGUACUUGUCUAGAUUUAUACUCCUCUCUACACCUCUUUAGAUGCUGUAUUGCUUUAAAACAUUAUCAAAACAAGCACAUUGUCCUUGUAUCAUUGUGAGCCACUAAAUGUCUUUCGCUGACAUCCAGGGUUCUGACAGGUAACUGGAACUUGACUGUGAUGUGAACAUACCAGUGCCCAUUCUGCUGGUUAAAAAAAAUAAGAAGGUAAUCUUUAAAUAUACCAAAUGUACAGGUACAUCCUGAAGGGUGCAAUAUUCCACACAGGCAGGAGGGGUCACUGUUUGAAAACAAUUGCAGGUGAGCUAAAGUACAUGCAGUGGCAUAACACUGCAAACCAGGGAUACUGGUUAAAUGACCAUAGGGAGAUUUUAAAUAGAAAAAACUAACAAAAGAUCAAAAUACAUAUGUACAUAUUACUCAGAAAUCAUAUCAAGUUUGAACUCUGCUUUUUUAGGGAACAGAAGAAGUCAAAUUAACAAUGGGUUCAAUCUGGUUACAAAAAGCUUUCUUCACAUUAGUAAAUACAUUACUCGUACAUCACCUGCAUGUGGGUAAAUCUUGGAGUCACACAGGAAGCAGCAGAGCCAGCUUCCUAGGCCUAUACUGAUAUAGAGUGAAAUCAGCAAGACUUAUAUGUGUGCGAGCACAUGGUUCCUGGCAGUUAUUUUGUAUCCGUAAUCAUAAUGCAACAAUCGAAAAGGGAGGUGUUUGGAUAAACUGUUAUUUAUUGUCAGGCUGUUUUUUCAAGAUCCAGUGCAUUAAACAGUGCAUUGAAACAUUUGAUGCUGUGAUGCAUAAUUACCUAAACACCAAUGACAUGGUAAUCAGAAACUUACAAAGUAGCCAGUAAUCCUGGUAAUGACUCGUGUGAACUUAAAUCUUCUAGAAAAAUAUAUGUGACCCUAUGAUUUGUCACAGGAUGUUAUUUUAGCCUGCAGCCUGAAUAUAGUGUAUAAAAUGUAAAUCAUGGAUGGAAGGUUAAAUCGGACCCCAAAAAGCAUGUAUUCAUGCACCACAGAUGAGCUUUUCUACACUUCACCCAGACAAGCUGUAUUUAAAAACACUAAUGUCAGAACCAGCCGUAAUGUACUGCAUGUAAUGCGCUUAACACAGAUCAUCUGCUGUUGUUUGCCAUGUGUGUGAAAGGGCCACAAUGUCUAGUGUUCAUGACAGAAAAUGGCAUCACACCAAUCUUAUGUUUACCAAAUUACAAGCAAUCUGUCAUUUUUUUUUACAAGUUUCAUGACGUGUAGGUAAAAUAUUUUCCUCUACAAAACUAUAAAUGUCCUUUGGCAAUCUUUUUUUUUUUUUUUUUUUUAAUUAGCA